GACGAACGCUGGCGGCGUGCUUAACACAUGCAAGUCGAGCGGUAAGGCGCUUCGGGGUACACGAGCGGCGAACGGGUGAGUAACACGUGUGUAAUCUGCCCAUCACUUCGGGAUAACUCAGGGCAACCGGUGCUAAUAUCGUAUAUGACCACUUCAGGCAUCUGAUGGUGGUGGAAAGUUCCGGCGGUGUUGGAUGAGCUCGCGGCCUAUCAGCUUGUUGGUGGGGUAGUGGACUACGAAGGCUUCGACGGGUAGCCGGCCUGAGAGGGUGACCGGCCACACGGGGACUGAGAGAGGGCGCAGACGCCAACGGUGGACAACAGGGGAGAAUAUGAUACAGCAGUCGAGAGCCUGAGCCAGCAGCGCCGGGGGUGGAAAGACGGCCUGCGGGGAAUAAACCUCUUGCAGCUGGGACGAUGCGCGAGUGACGGUACCGGAAGAAGAAGCACCGGCUAACUACGUG
rnacentral:rRNA from 1 species